rnacentral:rRNA from 1 species
UACAGAGGGUGCGAGCGUUAAUCGGAAUUACUGGGCGUAAAGCGCGCGUAGGCGGCUUUGCAAGUCGGGUGUGAAAUCCCCAGGCUUAACCUGGGAACUGCAUUCGAGACUGCAUUGCUAGAGUAUGGGAGAGGGAAGUGGAAUUUCCGGUGUAGCGGUGAAAUGCGUAGAUAUCGGAAGGAACAUCAGUGGCGAAGGCGGGUCUCUGGGCCGAUAUUGACGCUGAGGAGCGAAAGCGUGGGGAGCAAACAGG